AUGGCGGUUCUGCAGGGGGGAAGGAGAGAGAGAUGUGAGGCCUGUGAGAGAGAGGAGAAAAAGAAGGGUCGCGGUGGCGCGCUACUCACCGGUGGCGAGGAAACGGCGUGGCGGGGAACUGAUCUGGUGGUUGCCGGCGGCGCGACAGACGAGGACGGCGGGGUUCGGAUCCAGCGGCCGGCGCGUUGGUCUGAAGCAGAGGAGGCAGCGACGUUCGAAGACACGGGCAUCGGCGGCGAUGCAGCACGAGGACGGCAGCGUCGAAGCCCGCGGUGGUCUCCAUGGCGAGUCAAGGCAGGGCGCACUGCUGCUGGCCAGCGCGUGGACGAGCUCUGGCUCCUGGUUCGAGUGGGGGCGCGAGAAAAUCGGGGCGCCGUGGUGCUCUGCUCCCUGGCGAGCUCAAGCAAGGCAAAGGGGAUCCACGACGCAAAGAGAAACAGAUCUGGGAGGAUCCCGAGGUGGGAUUUAAGUGUGGCGGCGGCGGAAGGAUGGAUGGGACAGCUUCCUAGAAAUUAG
rnacentral:rRNA from 1 species